CCUACGGGGGGCAGCAGUGAGGAAUAUUGGUCAAUGGACGCAAGUCUGAACCAGCCAUGCCGCGUGCAGGAAGACGGCUCUAUGAGUUGUAAACUGCUUUUGUACGAGGGUAAACGCAGAUACGCGUAUCUGUCUGAAAGUAUCGUACGAAUAAGGAUCGGCUAACUCCGUGCCAGCAGCCGCGGUAAUACGGAGGAUUCAAGCGUUAUCCGGAUUUAUUGGGUUUAAAGGGUGCGUAGGCGGUCGGAUAAGUUAGAGGUGAAAUCCCGAGGCUCAACUUCGGAAUUGCCUCUGAUACUGUUAGGCUAGAGAGUAGUUGCGGUAGGCGGAAUGUAUGGUGUAGCGGUGAAAUGCUUAGAGAUCAUACAGAACACCGAUUGCGAAGGCAGCUUACCAAGCUACUUCUGACGCUGAGGCUCGAAAGCGUGGGGAGCAAACAGGAUUAGAUACCCGAGUAGUC
rnacentral:rRNA from 1 species